UUCUGACCUCAGGUGAUCCACCCACCUCGGCCUCCCAAAGUGCUGGGAUUACAGGCAUGAACCACCGCGCCCAACCUGGGGGAAGAGUAUUCUAAGAUUAUAUUUCACUGUAUUGACAGUUGCCAUUUCAAUCUGAGGCCUACUUAGGUACUAUUUCUUAAAGGCUGUCAGAGGCAUAGAGAUGCUGAUGGUAAAAAUAAAGAGAUUAGUGAGAGACAUUGUUCAGUCUACAAUGAUGUGGCCACAUAGCUCCAUGGUCUUAGAGCUAGAACUGAGUGGAAAAAGCCAUGACUUCAUAAUCAUGGUCUUGAACUUUUGCUGAAACCUUCAAGUCAUUCUCCUACCAUGCCAUUCACUUCUACAUCAGUAAAAGAAGAUUAAGAGUCCCUAUGCAAAACUUUUUUUACCACCUUUUGUGGAAGGGGUGUGUUCAAAUUAUUUCCUUAAGUAACUCCUGAAUAUAAAGUUCUUCAGAAAUAUUAAGAUAUUUUUUGAAUAAAUGAUGUGAUUUUCAAUUAAUAGAGUUUCAGAUAUUCUUGAUGAUUAUAAAGUGACAAAAACUCCAGGGCAUAUACCUUGGGUACUGAAAGCUUGUGUGGGAUCAGUAAGAAGAUUAAGGAUAAGAGUGAAAUUAAAAGAAGGCUCAGCCCUGACCUGUGAACAAUCCCUCAGAGGGGAAAAAAUAUUCAAACUCAAAUAUUAAGAUUGGCUUUUAUAUUAGAAAUGAGUAAGUGUAUACAUUAAAUUAAUUCUAAUCUUUCGACUAUCUGCUGUCUAUAUAAAAUCAAAAGUAAGUUUUAGAGAUUAAGAACAUAGGGAAAAGACCUUAUUUGCCCAUAAGGAAAAUGCUCAGCUGUAUCUCUCCUCUUCUGAUUUAAACAUUCCUCUUAUUCUUCUUUCUUUCUUUCUUUCUUUUUUUUGAGAUGGAGUCUCACUGUGUUGCCCAGGCUGGAGUGCAGUGGCGUGAUCUUGGCUCACUGCAACCUCUGCCUCUCGGGUUCAAGCGAUUCUCCUGCCUCAGCCUCCCGAGUAGCUGGGAUUACAGGCAUGUGCCACCAUGCCCAGCUAACUUUUGUAUUUUAGUAGAGAUGGGGUGUCACCAUGUUGGUCAGGCUGGUCUCAGACUCCUGACCUCGCGAUCCACAUGCCUCGGCCUCCCAAAGUGCUGGGAUUACAGGCGUGAGCCACCGUGCCUGGCCCUUUCUUCUUUCUAGUAUUUAUAGGAUGUUAGAAGACCAAAGUCAAGUUAACAAUGAGGAAAAUUUUAGUUCAGCACAAUUAAGAAAAAAUGAUAGCCCCAUUUGAAGAUGAAGAAACAGUAAACAAAAGUAGAAGAAGCUAUUGGGAAAGUGUCUUCUGAUGACACAUUGCUUCUUUGAAUAAAUCUUUGUGUCAACUAAAACCUUGCCUAUGCUUUCUAUAUUGCAAGCAUCAGGUCCUUGACAUGGCUUUAAAUCUUUCCUAAGCAUUUUGAGAGGGAAUUGAUGCAAUACUUCUCACUGUUGAUAUAGUAGGGUUCCACAUAUUUACAUGGGACUUUUUGACCAAAGACCCAACUUUUCACUUUUGUACAUUUACUGUGCCUCUCAUACAGGGCUGGACUGUUUAUGUAGUCUGUUGCAUCACACUAUGGUGGCAGGGGGACAGAGUUGGGGGCACUAUUAGAAUUUGUUUAAGUCUGAACCGGGAAUUCCAUUUGUCUUAGUGACAUGAGUGUCAAAACUGUUAGUGCAACACUAUUUUAAACUGUCUGCAAGAGCCUGAGAGGCUUAUGCUUAUAGGUGCCAUCUAUAAACUUAGAAACAAACAAAGAGCCCCUCUCCAUUGAAUAGUAAGCCCAGUGGGCAAUUAAAGAACAGCUUGGGACCCCACUUGGUCAACUAGUCAGAACCAGAGCUUCUGAUAUUCCCUCUGGAUAUUGUUGAGAACUGUCACAGAAAGGCUAAAGUAAAUAAUCAAAAUGAAAAUAGUUGUUCCAGAGAAAAGUCUUGUUCUGGAAGCUUGGUGUUAAGGAAAGAAUAAUGACCACUAAUUUGUGGAUCUUUGUUAGUUCUAGUCUCAGCGGAGUCCCUUUCAGCUUGAAACAUGGAUGAACCUGUGUUUUCAAGCACCUCUGAAGAUGUUUUUAAAAUUAGGGUAUAAUUUGGGUAUAGCAAAAAUGCAUGUUUUAAUCAUACAGCUUGAUGAAUUUUUAUACUCAGCCACCACUCACAUAAAAACAUAGAAUAUUUCCGUCAACCCAGAAAGUUUCUUAUGCCCCUUCCAGUUAAUACUACCAGUGACCUAGAGGUAACCAUUUUUAUCAUCACAGAUUACCUUUACCUGUAUUAAACUUCAUAUGAUUGGAAUCAUCUUGUGUCUGUGCUUUUGUAUCUAACCUCUUUUGCUCAACUUAAUUUGUUUGAGAUUCAUCCAGGUAUUACAUGAAUCACUAGUUCAUUUUUAAUAUUGCAGUGUAGUGUUCCAUUCUUCAAAUAUACCACACUUUAUAUAUCCAAUAUUCUGUCAUUUCCAGCUUUUGGCUAUUAGGAAUAAAGCUGCUAUAAACAUUUUUUUAUAAGUCUGUCUGUCUGUCUCUCUCUCUCUCUCUGUCUCUCGUCAACAUAUGCAUACAUUUCCUUUGGGCAUAUCCCUAGUACUGGAAUUGCCGGAUCACAAAGUAGGCAUAUGUUUAACUUUAUUAGGAACUGCCAACACGUUUUCCAAAAUGACUGUACCAUUUUGCAUUCCUAUCAGCAAUGCAUGAGCGUUCCAGUUGCUCCACAUUCUCAUCAACACUUGAUAUUAUUGAUCUUUAUUUUAACCAUUCCAGUGGAUGUGAACUAUGGUUUGAAUUUGCUUUUCUCUGUUGAGUAAUGGUAUUGAGCAUCUUUAAUAUACUCAUUGGCCAUUUGGAUAUCAUCUUUUGUAAUGUCCUAGUUAACUCACUGAUUUUUAUUAGAUAUGUUGUCUUUAUUGAAUACCAAGUGUUCUUUAAAUAUUCUGGAUAUGGUCCUUUUGUGAGAUAUGUGCAUUGCAAAUAUUUUCUUUCAGUUAAUUGCGUUUUCACUUUCUUAAUGGUAUCUUUUGACAAGCAAAAAUCUAAUUUUUUCAUUGUUUUUUCCUUUUAUGUUUUCACAAACAAAAAAAAUCUUUUGUCCAGUCUUUUUUUUUUUUUUUUUUUUUUUUGAGACAGAGUCUCAGUCUGUCACUGAGGCUGGAGUGCAGUGGCAUGAUCUCGGCUCACUGCAACUUCCGUCUCCCAGGUUCAAAGUGAUUAUCCUGCCUCAGCCUCCCAAGUAGCUGGGACUACAGGUGCCCACUACCACGCCCAGCUAAUUUUUUGUAUUUUUAGUAGAGAUGAGGUUUCAUCAUGUUGGCCAGGCUGGUCUCGAGCUCCUGACCUCAGGUGAUCUGCCUGCCUCGGCCUCCCAAAGUGCUGGGAUUACAAGUAUAAGCCACCAUGCCCAGCCCCUCCAGUCUUGAAGAGAUAACUCUUUUCUAGAAAUUGUAUAGUUUAAGCCUUCACAUUUAGGACUAUGAUCCUUUUCAAAUUAAUUUUUUAUUGUGGGUGGUCAAGUGUGGUGGCUUAUGCCUAUAAUCCCACCUUGGGAGGCCCAAGUGGGCAGAUUGCAUGAGCUUAGGAGUUUGAGACCAGCCUGGGCAACACAGCAAAACUCUGUCUGUACAAAAAGUACAAAAAUUAGCCAGGCAUGGUGGUGCACAACUGUUGUCCCAGCUACUUAGGAGGCUGAGAUGGGAGGAUCACUUAAGCCUGGGAGGUUGAGGCUGCAGUGAGCUGUGAUCACGCCACUGCACUCUAGCCUAGGUGGCAGAGCAAGACCUUGUUUAACAAACAAAAAAAAAUUUUAUUUUGAUGUAGGGCAGGGAUCAAGGUGUUUAGUUUCUUCCGGUUGCUCCCACAUUGUUUAUCAAAAAGAUACGCCUUUCCUAUUAUGAAUUGCACUGAUGCCUUUUUAAAAUUUUUAUUUUUUCUUGGGUUCUUUAUUCUGUUACAUUGAUUUAUAUAGCUGUCUUUUUACCCACAUUGUACUACCUUAAUUACUGUAGAUGUUUAGUAAGUUUUGAAGUCUCAUAUUUUAAGGCCUCCACCUUUGUUUUUCAUUCUGGUUAUCUUGGCUAUUCUGGGGCCUUUGCAUUUCCACACAUGUGCAUUUGUACGAACAUACCAGUGGUUUUUCAAACUCUGGGAAUUCCCAAGACACUUUCAAGUGGUCUAUUAAGUCAAAAUUAUUUUUAUACUAGUAUCAAGUUAUUAUUUGCCUUUGUUUUUUCUACUGUGGUGAAAUUUAGUAUAGAUGGUGCAGAAGCAAUUGUGGGUAAAACUGGUGGCCUGUUAUCAUAGUAAAGGCAAUGGCACCUAACUAUUGCUAGUAGCCUCUGCUACCUACUUAAGAGUUCUUUUUUAAGCUGUAUUCACCUAAGAAUAUCUUUAAAGCAGUAAAAAUCAUCAACUUUAAUUUUAUUAAGUUUUGAUCCUUGUGUAACAUCUUAAUAUUCUGUAUAUCAAGUGGGAAUGAAUGCACAGUAGUUGUCUUGAGGGAAAGCCAUUGUGAUUUGUAAACUGAACUAGCAACUGUUUUCAUGGAAUCCCAUUUUAUCUGAAUAAAACAAACUAUGUUUAUUCAGACAUGGGCAUUUGGCAGAAAUUUUCUCAAAAAUAAGCAAACCCUGUCACUUCGAAGAAAACAACUAACAAUAUUUAUUACCAAUAAUAACAUUCUAGCUUUCAAUUGAAAAUUAGAAAUUUGAAAACCUUGUAUCCACCACUGUCUGUUUAACAGAGUCCCAAUAUUUAAAGACAUUUCUCGGCCGGACACGAUGGCACACGCGUAUAAUCCCAGUACUUUGGGAGGCCAAGGCGGGUGGAUCACCUGAGGUUAGUUCAAGACCAGCCUGACCAACAUGGUGAAACCCUGUCUCUACUAAAUACAAAAAAUUAGCUGGGUGUGGUGGUGCAUGCUUGUAAGCCCAGCUACUUGGGAGGCUAAGGCAGGAGAAUCGCUUGAACCCGGGAGGCAGAGGUUGCAGUGAGCCAAGAUCGUGCCAUUGCACUCCAGCCUGGGCAACAAGAGUGAAACUCUGUCUUAAAAAAAAAAUUUCUCAUUAAAUAAGUAGUGAUAUUAACUAAUAUGAUUUUUUGCAUAAUAGAUAUUAAAAUAUAUCAGCAUUUGGAACAUCUGCAACAUUUUCCGAAUGACCAGUUUCAUGUUGCUACAAAAUCAUGCAAGAGUAAAGGACUCAUUCCAAAUGCAAGAUAGGACAAAGGAUUUUAAUGUAAUAGAAUAUGAAAGUUAAUUGAUAUAGUUUCAGAUUCCACAUUGCAACUAAUUUGUUAAGGAUCAUAUCAAGGAAGAAUAUCCCCAGAACCUGAAAAUGCUAUUAAUAUACUUUAUCUUUUAGCAGUUACGUAUUUGAGUUAGACCAACUUUUCUUCGUGUACGUCAACCAAAACAGCAUAUCAGAACAGAUAGAAUGCAAUAGCAGAUAUGAGAAUCUAGCUGUUGUCUAUUAGAGGAUUUUCUCUUAAAAAUGUUACUUUUCUCACUUCUUUCUGUUUAGAAAAUAUUUUUAUAUAGAAUGUAAUUGAUAUUUCUACAUAGAGGCUUUAUCAUUGUUUUUAAAUUAGCUGAUACAUAAUUGUAUUAAAUGUUGAUAGAUAUAGUACAUAUAAACCAAAGAUCUUUGGGGUCCUGGGUUUUUUGUUGUUGUUGUCGUUUGUUUGUUUUUUUGAGACAACCUCACUUUGUCAUCCAGGUUGGAGUGUGGUGGUGCAAUCUCGGUUCAUUGCAACCUCUGCCUCCAGGUUCAAGUGCUUCUCCUGCCUCAGCCUCCCGAGUAGCUGGGACUCCAGGCAUGCACCACCAUGCCCGGCUAAUUUUUGUAUUUUUAGUAGAGACAAGGUUUCACCAUGUUGGCCAGGCUGGUCUUGAACUUCUGAGCUCAAGUGAUCUGCCCACCUUGGCUUCCCAAAGUGCUGGGAUUACAGGUAUUAGCCACCGCACCUGACUGGGGUCCUGAGUUUUUUUAAGCACACUGGGAUCCUGAAUUUUAAAAUGUUUGAAAACCACUGGUAUGCAUAUUCUCGUACACACACACACACACACACACACACACAUUAAAUUACUAGUUUGUUUGUUUAUUUCUACAGAAAUUCAGAUGAGAUUGGAUUGGGAUUUCAUUGAAUCUGUAUAUCAAAUUUGGAAGUAUUGACAUCUUAAAAAUACUAAAUCUUUCAAAACAAGCUUUUUUAAUUUUUUGAGAUGGAGUCUUACUCUGUUGUCCAGGCUGGAGUGCAGUGGUGUGAUAUCGGUUCACUGCAACCUCCACCUCCAGGGUUCAAGCGAUUCUUGUGCCUCAGCCUCUGAGUAGCUGAGAUUACAGGCAAAACAUAAACUUUUAUAACUAUUCACUUAUUUAAGCCUUCUUUAAUUUCUCCUUGAUAAGUUUCAAUGUAGAAGUCUUACACAUCUUAUAUAAAAGUUUUUUCUUUCUAUUAUUACAUUUUGAUGAUAACUAUAGCACGUUUUUAUUUCACUUGUCAGUUUUCUUUACAGCAUAUAGAGUAAAAUACUUUUCUGUAUAAUAAACUUGUAUCCCAGCCUGGGCAAUAUAGUCAGACCUCGUCUCUACAAAAAAAAAAAUUUUUAAAUUAGCUGAGUAUGGUGGUAUGCACCUGUAGUCUUAGCUACCUGGGAGGCUGAGGUGGGAGGAUUGCUUGAGCCCAGGAGGUUGAGGCUACAGUGAGCCAAGGCUGCAUCACUGCACUCUAGCCUGGGUGACAGAGGGGAAACCCUGUCUCAAAACAAAAAAUGAACUUGUUUCCAGCAACUUUUCCAAAUUCGUUUAUUCAUUCUAAUAGUAGAAUCUCUUGGAUUUUCUACUAUGUAAUCAUGUCAUCUGCAAAUAAAGAUGGUUUUAUUUCUUUUUAAUCUUUAUCUUUCUCCCAUAUUACACUUGUUUAAACCUCCACUACGAUGUUGAAUAGAAAUGAUGAUAUUGAAUAUUCUUGUUUUCUUCUCAACCCUAGGAGGAAGGGUUUAUUAUUUCACUAUGAAGUAUAAUGACAAUAAGCAAAAAUUUAUCAAAACUGAAGCAGAGAGAGAAAAAUACUGAAAUAAAAUAGAACUCACUGUGAGCGGUAUAUCAAACUAUAGCAGUAUCAAACUGUCUAACAUCUGUGUAAUUAUUUCACAUAUGUGGAAGAAAAGAAGAGGAUAUGGCAAAAGAAAUGCAUGAAGGGUUGAGAAUUUUCCAAAGUUAAUGAAAGACAUAAGUCAAAGUUUUAAGAAACUCAGUGUAUGCUGAGUGAGAUAUUAAUAAACACAAAGAAAACCAUACGUAGACAUAUUAUAAUCAAACUGUUCAGAUCUAAACAUAAGGAAGGAAUUUUAAGAAGCCUACUCUGUUUCUUUAUUUGUUUUUUUCUUUUUUCUUUUUUGAGACUGAGUCUCGCUCUGUCACCCAGGCUGGAGUGCAGUGGCGCAAUCUCGGCUCACUGCAAGCUCCACCUCCCGGGUUCAUGCCAUUCUCUUGCCUCAGCCUCCCGAGUAGCUGGGACUACAGGCGCCCGCCACCACGCCUGGCUAAUUUUUUGUAUUUUUAAUAGAGACGGGAUUUCACCAUGUUAGCCAGGAUGGUCUCGAUCUCCUGACCUUGUGAUCCGCCUGCCUCGGCCUCCCAAAGUGCUGGGAUUAGCCACUGUGACCAGCCUCUUUAUUUCUUAGGUUUAUAUUUAAGUGAUGGUUUGGACUUUUGAUAAAAAGAGAAAUUGGAAAAGUAGCAGGGUGAUUUUUAAGUUUCCUUGGCAGUGUGAGAUCCCCAUGUCUGAAUAAUCAAGAGGCUCUAUGAGGAAUCUUCAGGAUAUUUUUCAAUAGACAGAAGUAAAAGAGAUGGGAAACCAGUAUUAAUUUAUAAACAGUUAGGUGCCCAACACUGUGCUAGGUCUUGCCACAUGUCUCAUCUCAUUUAAUCUUCUUUAAUUAGGAUCAAGGUCCAUUUUAGCAAUAGUCAAAGAACAGGACUUAGGACACCUAGCUCCUGAUACUUAAAAUUACUUAAAGUGCAUUAUGGUGACACCUCAGAUAAGUCUAAACCUCUUUCUACCCUGCCUAAUCAAAUAUUCAUUUCAAAACACUGUAUGCUGAAAUGAGCCACGUGGGAGUUGAAGAGAAUCAACUAUUCAGGUGGUGAAAAUGUGUGAAUGCAGCUGGCAGAUGAAGUUCCAGUGUGAUGAAUUCCCAGCUUGUCCUUAUUGCUUUAGGCAACAACUGACAGGCCUGACUGGUCAUUGGCUUUCCAUUCCUGGCAUUGAUAUGACUGAAAAUUCUUAAUGUCACAGAUCCUUAAAAGCUGUCUCUGUUAUCAUGGAUAUAAAUGGUGCUGGAGGGUCCUUCUUGCAUAGAGAGGUAAUCAAUAUGGUCUAGAGUUCUUGACCUGAACCUGUAAUUACUUGGACAUUUUGAAGGUAGCUUGUUGUUACAGAAUAUUCAUAUAUUCAGAACAUUGGGACUGAGUUGUGCAUGGAGAGGAGAAAAAUAGAGUCUUUGUCCCCCUUUCUGUUCUUAGUAUUUAAGAGGCCUUCAUAAUCACAGAAGAGAGUGAUAUUAUAGGAUUAGAACAUUGUAUUUUUGGUUUUGGGUGCUGAAGUUCUAAUCUUACCUCUGAAGUGAUCCUGAUAUUUUGCCAAAGUUGUGACUUUAAUAUUCUGUGGCUUGUAAUUGUGAUUUUUCUAAUACCAGAGUAGAAUUCUGGGGAGGAAUUUUUCUAAACCCAAAUACCUCAAUUUGAAGUGAGGCUUGGCUUUAAAUAAUAACACAUUUGAGUUUGAGCUUUUCCUGCAAUUAAGUGGUAUGCUGCAAAAAGGAAUUCGGUUAGCAGAUUUUAUGGCAUCCAUGAUCCAUGGACAAGAGUGAGUAGAAGGAGAUGAUACUGAUAGCAAUUCUUAAGUCUCUAAAUGUUUUUACGUUGUUGUGAUCAGGAUUUCUUUGCCAAAUGAAAACGGUAAAAGUGGAAGCAUGAAACACCUUAACAGUAGGUGUGGAUCCUGAUUGUUCUGUUACUGCUUGGCUUAAGAUACCCCUGGAUGGGCUGGGUGUGGUGGCUCACACCUGUAAUACCAGCACUUUGGGAGGCCGAGGCAGGUGAUCACCAGGUCAGGAGAUCGAGAUCAUCCUGGCUAACACGGUGAAACCCCAUCUCUACUAAAAAUACGAAAAAUUAGCCGGGCAUGGUGGCGCACACCUGUAGUCCCAGCUACUCAGGAGGCUGAGGCAGGAGAAUGUCAUGAACCUGGGAGGCGGAGCUCACAGUGAGCUGAGAUCGCACCAUUGCACUCCAGCCUGGGUGACAGAGUGAGACUCUGUCUCAAAAAAAAUAAAAGAUACUCCUGGAUGGCAUUAUUAUUGGAUUACCUUAUAUGUAGCAUGCUUAGAACAGAGGGGGAAAAAUGAUGGCUUAUAAUAAAGGACUGUUUGAGAACAAGGGCUGUCUUUGUAUCUCCCUUUGCCUGGUAUUGGUACCUUCCACAGAGCAGAUAAUCAAUAUUUCUUGAUAUCUGAUUAAUAAUGAUAGUCAGUGAUGAUUAAUAAUGAUAGUCAGUGAUAAUCAACAAUGAUAACCAUUGUUGAUUUCUUAUAAAACAUAAGGCUUUAAAUAUCAUAACAUGAUUACAAGUUGGUAAUGCUGAGUCUUUAUCUUCGUUACCUGACUUAAACCUGGUCCUCAGUUAGGUUUGCCCUUAUGUUAUGAUCACUAUUCCUUUGUAUGGGCCUAUGGUCAAUUGUGUAAUCAAGUGAAAUAUUUUACAAAGCAUUUCAAAUUAUCUUUUAUGUUAUGCUUUUAAAGCAGCAUUAUGUUUAAACAGAAUAUUUCUUUGAUACAAGCUUUCGUUCUAUUAGGCUUAGCAUGGAAAUUUUUGUUUUAAGGUUAUCUUUAUAAAGCAUUAACUCUAGCGAAGUCUUGCUUUCUGGAAUCUAUGGUCAGGACUGGUAAACAUCUGUUGAAAAGAAUGGACAGGCUUUUGCUUUCUGCUCUUACUAGGCUAACUUUCAGACAUAAUUUUAGGGAUAUUUUGGGCUGCCUUUGAAGCUAGCCCAUUUUGGGCAUAGGACAUUGGCAUAUGGAGAACUGACCCUAAGUUCCAUUAAGCCAAAACAUUUUGUUGAAGAAUUUCCAAAAUUUUAGUGGUGUCAUUACAGUUUAGUUACUUGUACUUAUGCUCUAGACAGCUACAAGAAACAUGGUAGAAUUGACUUCUGUUGUAUGAAGUGGCGUCUUGAGUCUUAAACCUAUUUUACUUUGGUGUUCUACAAUAUUUGGAAAGGCAACAGUUAUUAUAUAAAUGUUCAAUGUUAAGACUGUAGAGAACACUAAGUUACACUUGACACUUAGUUGAACUCCCCAGUCAGUUAUCCCUUCUUUAGAUGAGUUUAUGUAGUUCUCAAAUGAAUGCUUGUAAGACUGGGAACAGAACCCAUUUACUCUUCUGUUUCUCUCUACCUAAAGAGGAAAUAGCGAACCCUAUGAUCUUCUAUUUGGGCUACCUUUUCCUUUUCCUAUGUUAGAAAUUCAUAGCCAUGAGUCAGUACCUCAAAUUAGAGUUUUUAUAGCCAUGAGAGGGACCCAGUUCCUGAAUCAGACGGCUUAAGCCAGAGAGAACUUACUAUGGUGCCUGACACUUUUCAUUUCUCUUGAAACAUGUUCUUAAUCUUUCUCUUUAUUCCAACUCACCCCCUUGAUUAAAUUAAUUACUUUCUCAUGUGUUCUUAAACUUUUACUGUUAUGUGUACCAUCUGAUAUUAAAAUUAGUUGGGUAUUGUUUUUCAUUCUAGACUAUGAGCUCAUCUUUGUACUCCCCGUAGCUCCCUGAAUGGUUUUGACACAUAAUAGGCACUCAGCAAAUGUUAAUGAAUUCAAUAUUUCAUCAUGGAACAUUGAAACCAAGUUCUUGCAUUUGCCUGGAACAGUAAUUACCUCCUCAAAGAGAAACUGUGUGGCUAGGGAGCAGAAGUGACAAGGAGACCAUCUUUCCACUAGAGUCCUUUACAACACGGCCCUGCAUUAUCCAUGCAAACAUAAAUUAAACUCUGUUUUUAACAACAUACUUUUUAGAUUUUUUGUUUUCAACAGUUGAAGAUGCUGAGGUUAAGAGAUUUAAAUAACUUGUCUACUGUCACAGAGCUAGUAGAUGGUAGAGCAAAGGUGUGAAUCUGUGAAACCUUCAUUUUUUCCCGGACCUUGAACAGCAUCUCAGCCAACCUUGAUUUCAUUCAUAUAAUCAUCAGGGCAUGUAUGUGACCUAAGAACUAUUUAUAUUUAUUCUUUUUAUCAUAUACUGUUGUAUCAUAGAGGACACAAAAUACAUCACCUCCACUCUGGAAUGGCACCUCUAUUUUAAAAGACCAUUGGCAAAACCUCUCCGAUGAGAUUUUGAUGAUGGAAGAAUGUUAUAUUCAAGACUCACCUAACUAUACCUGCAUCUCACAGAUACUUAUCCUUUAAGCAGUAAACAGUUAUUUUCAGCUAGGAAAGCCACUCUCAAUCAGGUAGUGGUUUCUUAAGCUGAAAAAGGCUUUCCACUUAAGAAUCGUGAUAGGCCAAGGUCAUUACCUUUCCGUCUACUUAUGGGAAAAUUCAAACUAAAGGAAUACCAGUGUUUGAAACUCACAAUUCACUCUAUAGUGGGGAGUGGGGGAGUGCAAGGCAAGCAAAGUGAUUAUAUUUCCCUUAGAAAUAUUGUUAACUAUUUUUUCAAAAUAUGGAUUAAAGCUUAAAACAUACCCAAAAUACACUGAUUCUAAAUGGACCUGACACCUUGAUCUUCAAUCAUGGAAUAACAUAUGAGUGAGGAUUCCCAAUGGACCAUUGUACACUACAAUAUUUAUUACUAUAAAGAUCUAAGAGCUCUUAGCCACUUUCAAACUUUUAAGAGUUGUUCAGCUCUCAUCCUCUUGACUUGUGUUUUCACAUUUUAAAAUUCUGGUUUGUUUUGUGUGAUGUAUUCAGAAUUACCUCCCUACCUUGAUUUCAGAAUAAUAUUUGGCUUUUUAAUAAAUUUAAGGAAGUGCAGAUAUGAAAGUAUACCCAUUAAUGCAUGGGGACUGCAGUACCUUUAACUGGCCCAUUUUUGGCCUCUGUUUAUCCAUCUGCAAAACGGUGACUAGGUUUUGCCUUCUAGUUAGUUGAUAUGAUAAAAAUACUAAUAAAUUGAAAGGCUGUGGGAUGAUACCUUUAUCAGUUCCUUCUAUGGAUGGUGUAAUUUUCACUGUAGUUUACUUUAGCAUAUAUGGUCUCAAGAAUAAAAAUAAGGAAUUACUAAGGAACCUCCUGAAUGCAAUACUAUUAACAUUCACAAAAAUAGCUAUAUGCAAAUUAGUAGAUGUCCUUAGCUGAGACAAAAUUAUUUUGAGGUUGUGAUCAUGAAAAUUAACGUAAGCUGAUAUAAUUUUGAAUUGUAUGCAUCUGUUUUCAUGAAAGAAACCUAUUUGGAGAGGUUUAUUCUUGAAAAAUUAUGGAAUUAAAAGUUAAAUAGGAUUCUUAACAUCUGUUUUUAAAUCUUGAAUUAUAUGCAGCUCAUAGAGUUUCUCUCCUGUAUGCAUAUUAAAUGAUAUAUAAUGAACUAUCAGUGGUUUUAGGUAACAUUUGGUUACUGAAUACACUAUGCUAAGCAUUUCACGUGCAUUAUCACCUGUAUUCACAAAAUAUUAUGAGGUAAAAGCACUGUUACAAUUUCCAUUUUUUUCAGAAGAAGGUGUGAUUUAGAGAAAUUAAGUACUGUAUACUACCUCCCAACUUUGGCAGUGUCAUCUGAAUUUUUUUGUCAUGAACAUGUUUUACAUAGCUUGUUGUUAAAGUCCAUUUUUGAUAAAUUUUUUGAAUAGACGUGUGUAAUGCAAGUGCAUGAGCUUUGUGGUUAGGUGUAGAUUUCAUUCCCAUUUCUGUAGCUGACUGGGUACAUGACCUUGAGUUUCUUUGUCCAUAAGAAGAGUAUAGGAACAUCUGUCUCUGAUGUUGUAAAAAUUAAUAGAUAAUAAAAAUCUUCUGGCCAUAGUUCAGGUACAUAACAAGGACUCAUUAAAUGUCAGUUGUCACCACCUUACCUUCUUUCCGUAAAAUAUUUCCUUUCUGUCUGUCCCAAAGUUUUAGUUUUGCUCUUCACGUGUAUCAUAAUGUAUUAUGAGCAUCCUAAGAAGAUAGGUUAUACUAUUGUCCCCAUUUUACAGUUGAGAAAACAGACUGAAAUGUUGUAGAUUCCUGGUUGAAUCCCUAUAGCAGUCUGAUUCCAGAGCCUGUGUUUUUAGCUAUAAUGUGCUUUGGUAUGAAGAUAUAUUCCAAUAACAGAUUAUAUUCUGAUAUUUCAGACAAGAAUCUAAAUCCCAGAAAUUAUUCUCUUGUACCCGCAUCCCUACCAUUCAGUUCUUCCCUUCUUAGAUUAUGCUGGUAUAACAGUGUAUCUCCUUAUUACUCUUGUAAUAAAUUUGUAUAUUAAAUGCUCAAACACCCUUCUGAUUCUAAAAUCUGUGAUCCUCUGUCAUUUGGAUACAUUUGCAGUAGUCUGAGGCAGCUCUGAGAAUCGUUUAAGGGAAAAGUAUUCAUCACUGUGGCUUUAGUAAGGAAUAUGUUGACAUUUUUACUCUAACUCCAGGAACUCCUACUGACCUGAAAUUAACCAGUUCAUGGAGGUUUUUGGUGGGGACUAAGGAAUGAAAUUAACUCCCUAAGUCUCCUCUUCUUAAAAAAGAACCUCAAAAUACUGCUGCCCAAAUGGAUUUAACUUUAGUUAUAUUUGUUUUUACAUGCAAAUACAUUUUACUCAGCCUAAAAAGGCAAAGAAAUGAAGCUAUUUGGUUUGCAGAGGAACAGAUCACUCUCCUGAGCAUGUCAGACUGUUUAUGUGUGUUUUUCACUCCAUCUUACUCUGUCUUUGUCUUUCAUGUUCUUUUUUCUGUCUCUGUUUCAGUUUGUCCUGUUUCUAUUGCUCCCUCACAGCAACUAUCUUCCUAUUUUGAUAAUCCUGUUUCAUCUCUAUAAGGAAAAGGCUCUCUCAAGGAUGCAGAAAAUGUUACUAUUUUUAUAACAGUCCCUAAAUACACAAAAGAUUUUAACUUGGCUAUAAAACUUUGUUCUUGGCAUAAAUUUGGCAGAUAGUCUUUCGCCUGGGUGAGACUUUUCAUUGGGAUCCUGGAAGUGUUGGGAUGUCACUAUUCUCCACUCUUGCUUCUCCAAGUAUGACAUUAGUGGUUUUAGCUCUUGUUGACCCAUCUUUAAACCAAAGCUUUAUAGCCUAUUAGAAGCACAGUGUGGAUUUUUCUUAUGAUACGUUGGAAUAAAAGAAAAAACUUUUCUAAAGUUACAAAUGGUUUCAUUUACCAAAAUGACUAUUUCACUUGGAAAGUUUUGUCUUUUCUGUAAAAAUUCCAGGAGUUGGGUGGGCUUGAUGUCCUCUCUCCCAUUCCACCUCCCCACCCACAGACUCAUGUCAGCAAAGAUGCUGAGAGUUUUAUUCCAGUCUUUUAGGAGGCGAGACCUUGACCAAGGAGUAGCUAAGACAUAUUUUUCUGCUUUUAUUUUUUAAAAACUUUUUAAAAAAAGUUUUUCAUAUAACUUUUUCAUCUUGUAUAACUGAAUAAAGAAAAUUUUUUAUUGAAAUUAAAGUAAGGAAAUACCACAGGAUGGCUUUAAAGUGUUUGUUUCACUGUGGCACAUAGGGCAAAUGCCUUGGAACAUCAGUAAUUACUAUUUGAGGCAACCUUUGGGGAUUGAGAUAUAUGCCUUUCAGAUCUGCACUUCAUCUCAUACUUCAUCAUUUAUUGGAUCAAAUAGCAGUCUCAUUUACUUAGGAUCCGUGUCAGCGCCUUGAGCUCCAAAUCGGGUAUUACAUGUCACCCUGUGAAAGAUCCUCUGCGUUACCCCAUCAAUUCUGCUUCAUUAAAGGACUUUAGAUGAUCAUCUUAAAGCUUUAAAGAAAUGAAAAAUAUUUGCCCUCUCCAUAAAAAAAAUGCUUACAACUUUAUCUUACAUUUUACUCAGCAGAGUAACUUUGCCCAGCCCUGGAGCAGAACAUUCUUAAAAGUAAGCCCAGUAAACCUAAGCGUUGGAUGGUUCUGCAAGUAACCACUGCAAAAAAGAUUUCCUGGUAGAACCUGGUGAAAUCUUACAGCAUCCCUCCCAGACCGUGAAUCAUCCCUUUGUCUGGCAUCUCCAGGCUGUCUAUGCUACCUAUCCUUUGGUCACUUGGCAGCCGUCUUGGUUGCAGUAUUACAGUGCUUGUAUUCAGGUAACCUUUAUUUUACUUAAUGGCCCCAAAGCACAAGGGUUGAUGCUGGCAUAUUGUUAUAAUUGUUCUAUUUUAUUACCAGUUAUUGUUGUUAAUCUUUGUGCCUAACUUAUAAAUUAAACUGUAUCAUAGGUCUGUACAUAUAGGAAAAAACAUGGUAUAUACAGUCAUGUAUGGCAUAGUGACCUUUCAGUCAACAGUGGACCUUAUAUGCUCGUGCAACAGUGUUCCAGUAAAAUUAUAAUACCAGAUUUUUACUGUACCUUUUCUAUGUUUAGAUACACAAAUACUGACCAUUGUGUUACAGUUGCCUACAGUAUUCGGUACAGUAACAUACUGCACAGAUUUUUUGUCUGGGAGUAAUAAAAGAGGUUAUAGCAUAUAGCUUAGGUGUGUUGUAGGCUAUUCUAUCUAGGUUUGUACAAGCAUACUCUAUGAUGUUUGCACAGUGAUGAAAUCACCUAAUAACACACUUUCUCAGAACACAUCUUUGUUGUUAAGCAAUGCGUGGGUGUAUAGUGUUGGUACUGUCCAUGGUUUCAGGCAUCCACUGGGGGUCUUGGAACGUAUCCCCAUAGAUAAGGAGCGGGGGACAGUUGUAGAAUAAAUUAUAUUUUGAAACUUGCUUCAUUUAUUGUUAGCAGAUUUCCUUCAAGUCAUUAAAUAUUUUUGAAGACAUAGAUAUUUUAAUGGUGGCUGGAUCAUUUAUUUGUCUGAUUUUCUAUCAUUAAACUUUGAGAUCGUUUAGAAUUUUUUACCAUACUAAUUUAGAAUAAAUAAAUUCCUAUAUAUAAAU